GUAAAAAAGGAUUACAUAAAUAAAUUUAAAGAGUAUAAAACUAAAUUUUAUGGAUGUAAAGAAGAAGAAGCAUUAAAAUAUAUUAAUGUUGAUGGUUAUAUAUAUAAUAAAGAAAAAGUAUUAUAUGUUCGAAUUGUUAAUAAAACGUUAGACCCAAAUUUAUAUGAAGGAAGUAUGGUACAUUCUGAUUAUAUAGAUCAACAUAUAUAUGAUCUUAUAAAAAAAAUAGCUAGUAAACAAAAUGUGAUAUAUUCUUAUGAUACCAAAUUGCGAUAUCCUUCUAAAGUGCUUGGCUUUUUUAAUAAUUAUGUUAUAUUGUCUACUAAAGUUUUGAAUAUAAUUAAUAAUAAUAAUAAUAAUAAUAGUGACAAUAAUAUGGUAACUACCAGUUUUGGAAAAGAUCAAGUUAAACAACAAACAAGUAUAAAACCAAGUGUACAAACUGUAGGAAGUGUAAAAACUGUAGGAAGUGUAAAAACUGUAGGAAGUGUAAAAACUGUAGGAAGUGUACAAAACGAAAAAACAAAAGACAUUAUAACAUUAAUCGAAAAACGCUAUAUCGAUUAUGAAAAUUUAAAAGAAGGAGAUAUAUUUUUUUGUAGAUUUGAUAACGUGAAAAAAAGAAAUAUUCGUAAUAUUUUUAGCUUGUCAAACAAUAUUAUUAAUAAGAUUUUUAACACAUAUUUUAAUAAUGAUAAGGAUUUGGGUAGUUGGGAUCAAGAGGGAUUCGUUCACAGUGGUGGCAGUGGUAGUGGCAGUGGUAGUGGCAGUGGUAGCAGCAGCAGCGGUGAUAGCGAUGAGUCAGCAAAACAAAUUCCAAAAACCAAAACGCUUAAACAACUAAAAUUCGAAGAAAUAUUUUUUGAUAAGCGUGAUAUAUAUAUAAUGAGAGGUGAGUUGCAUGAGGAAACUGAAUAUCAUUUAAAUAAAAAUAAUAUAGACAAAAAUUAUAAAAUGUUAAAACAAACUUGUGAUACCUACUAUUCAGGUAUUAAUCAAGCUUAUAGUAGUUAUUCUAACAUACGU
rnacentral:lncRNA from 1 species